UGAUCAGAGUGAAGAACCACCAGACACCUCCUACUAUACGACCUGAGAGAGACCUGAGAGGGAGAGAGACAGAGAGAGAGAGGAUGCUUGUCUGAGGAGAGGGUUCUUCACCAGCGUCGGCAGAGAACCUCCUGCUGAAGUAAAAUUCUCCAUCGCCUUCAAAACGCACAUCAAGGAGAGAGAGAGAGAGAGACAGACAGACAGACAGGAGGAUCCUGCUAAGUUUACCUGUUUUAAUGUGCGUUCCAUGUCGAUGCCCUGGUUCCAAGGAGCCGCCGGAUUGGCCAGGCAGUCUCCAGCAUUUCCUCGGCGAGAGAUGUCAAUCUUCUGCCGCCGAAGGUUGCGGAAAGCCUCGGCCAUCACCAGCACGGCGUCAUAUGUCAACGAGGAUGAGAACUAAGAAACAAACACCCACCACACACUCUUUCAUUUAUCCUUCUUUACCCAUUAAUUGUUUUAGUGCAACUAAACUUUAAACCUUAGUGCAAAUGGUUACACUCUUUCA